UACGGGGGGAGCAAGCGUUGUUCGGAUUUACUGGGCGUAAAGGGCGCGUAGGCGGUCAGCACAAGUCAGUUGUGAAAUCUCCGGGCUUAACCCGGAAAGGUCAACUGAUACUGUGCGACUAGAGUGCGGAAGGGGCAACUGGAAUUCUUGGUGUAGCGGUGAAAUGCGUAGAUAUGCGGAGGAACACCGAUGGCGAAGGCAAUCCCCUGGGCCUGCACUGACGCUCAUGCACGAAAGCGUGGGGAGCAAACAGG
rnacentral:rRNA from 1 species